CUCGUAGGCGGCCAACUAAGUCAUACGUGAAAUCCCUCGGCUUAACCGGGGAACUGCGUCUGAUACUGGAUGGCUUGAGUUCGGGAGAGGGAUGCGGAAUUCCAGGUGUAGCGGUGAAAUGCGUAGAUAUCUGGAGGAACACCGGUGGCGAAGGCGGCAUCCUGGACCGAUACUGACGCUGAGGAGCGAAAGCCAGGGGAGCAAAACG
rnacentral:rRNA from 1 species